AGUCAAUAAUUGUUGACGGCUGAAAUAUCUUUUGGCGUUGAAGUGAGGGGCUAGCCAUGAGUGUGCAACCCUAGCUAAAUUAAGAAUAUACUUUUGCCUGAAUAGUUAGAGAGACCAAACAAUAUGGAGUAGGUUCGGUGAACUGGAUGAAUAUCUGGGCCUAAUUGUAACCAAAAAUCAGUUUUGCAUAUUGAGAUUGCAUCCUGGUGUCCAUAGCUGCUCCAAUAAGUUGCUAAUAGAAGUAUCUGAAGAAUCAGAAGUUCUUGAAGGUGAUACAAGGUGUGAGUUCGACGAGGUGUGAGAAUGAUGGGUUUGAGCGUAGAUGCUUGGAAAAGAAUUUGAUUGUUAGGAGUUAUUUGGAGAAAGCGAUAAUGUUCACAGCAAAAGGUGAAAAGUAUCUGAAAAGGACUAAAGGAUGAAGCAGAAGUAAUUGAAGCGAUAAAAUAGUUGGAGUCACGCAUUUGUGCUGUCCCCAAGGCUAGAGGAGCGGGUCAAAGUAUUUCGAUACCAGUUUGGUGGAACAGCUAUAAGUGGUACAGAUAGGGUGACCAGGAGUGUUGGACUAAUGGAUGUUGAUAAAAAGAAGAGCAGAUGAUGAAGAUGUGAUGUACUGACUGAGAGACUGGGAGGACGGAAAGAGAUGAGUUGCUAUAUAGCUGUGGUCACAAGUUAUUAGUUGCGGGAAAUAUUGUUAUUGGUCAAUAAUAUUAUUAUUGAAAAGAGCGUUAAAACAUCACCAUAGUGCUUCUGUUCUGAAGCGGUUAGACUACCAUAACAUUAUAGCACUGCCCUUGUCGAAUGAUUUGAUAACGAUGUUGUACAAGUGAGGGAGGUGCAGAACGAAAAUAGUGUUGACUGGAAUAUAUUAAGGCGUCUUAAAUACUUCUGAAAACUGAAACGGUUUACUGUGUAACCGCACGAGCUGGUGAAUAGAUCAAAUCUUAAACCAUUAAUCAAUGUCUUCAUUCUUAACAAAACCACUUUACAUUUUCCGUCUUAAAGUCCCUUUUGUCUCUCCUACCCUACUUCUGAACUUGAAAAAUGACAACUGUCCGAAGCAUAAGACCCACUUCCUUGCCUACACACCACAAUAUAUUUGCUUUGUAGUUAUGGCCAUUGUUCUGAGGGGGUCUUUGUUUUAUAUUUUGGUGAGGUUUCGACUGUUUUUUCUUCUUGGACCAUCCUGAACAUACGUUCAUUAUAUAGUAUUCCCUCUCGUUACAGCAGUGGCUUGCCUUAUUUAGGAGUUCUAUUUACAACAGCGUGGACUAAGUCAAUUAAGAUUUAAUUACUCUUGUUGACAUUAGCAGUGAUGUAUGUCGUUGGGUUAGACAUAACUCUCAAACGACCCAGAAGCCUCUACCUGGUUAAUCAAACUACUAGAAUUAACUGUUAGAUCUCACACAUUAUUAGCAUAUCAAAAAAGGAAGAUUUUAGAAAAUACAGUGUUUUGCAUAUAAGAAAACGUGAUGUUCCUGAUUGGAACACCUUUGAUCCUUGGCCUGCUCGAUCAGGAUUGACCUAUUGCCUUCACACCUACAAUAAAGAUGAAAAUUUACUGCGAAGAAGGAACAAUUGUAGUACAACAUCUGUGACAGCUGUUUCAAUAGUUCAUUUGAGAUUUUUUAAUAGUUACUGUUCUCAAAUUCUAUAUUGUGUGAGUAUCUUUAAAUAUGGGUGAACUCCACCUAGUUGAUUUUAUCCUCACGUACAACACACGAAGUAAAAAAAUUUCCAGAUGUGAUCAAAAGCACCCAAUGCAUUAUGGAACGCAAUGGUAGCACUUUAGCAAGUUGUUGUAGCUCCACCAAUAUUCCUAUUUUAAGACAGUAGGUUAAUUAUAUUCGCCAGGUUUAUGGAGGUCUCAGUGGAACGUAAUUAUACAUAAUGGAAUACUAUUUGAACAAACUGAUUUAUUUAAGUUUUAGCUGAUUUAUUACACUCGAAAUUUCAUUUUUAUUUGUUGGAGAUAAGAAAAAUGUUAUUUUUAUUAGUCUCAAGUCAUUUCUAUAUUUUUUUUCGGUCGUUUUGCUAUUACUGGCAGAACUUUAUUCCCCUCUUCACUUGUCUCUCCUUUCAAUAUAUGUUUUAUUUCGCAAAUCAAAAUGAGGCUCCUUUUUUAAUAACCUGUAAUGGCGGAGGCGGAGUUUCAUGUACACUGUUAUAUGAUAUUUUCAUGUAAGUACUGUUAUCGAUGAUUGCGCUACGUACUUUUAUUAUGAGACUCGGACUGAGGUUUUGCAAUGGUUUCUGUAACACGAAUAUUGAAGUCUAACAAAUCUCAGUUAAAUUACGGCUACGUAACUCACUGAAUUAGGAUGGUGGGCAAAAGGCAAAAAAAUUUAACCUUAACUGGUAUUUCGUCUUGUAUGCUGCCAUUUUGCAUCUUGUACAAAUUUCUACUUUAGUGUGCUGUAUCUGCCAGCCUGCCGACCUCGGUUAAGGAAAAUAUCUUUGUUAAGCCUGAGGUGGUUUUGUUUCCUUCUUUUAUGAAAAACGCUACCGUCUAUUGAUUCAACCUUAUACUUAGUAAAUUAUUAUUGCUGUUGCUGUAGUUGUUGUUGUUGUUGUUGUUGUUGUUGUUGUUGUUGUUGUUGUUGUUGAAUCUGUAAUCACCUCUGAUCGAGCAGAACUGCGACAUUCCAACCAAGAAGCAUUCCAUCGUUUUACGUAUAUAUAUAUAUAUAUAUAUAAAGAGACAGAGAGAGAGGGGGAGAUAGGGAGAGAGAUCCAUACAUCUCUUAAAGCUGGGAACUUUUCAGUACCACCCUGAUAUCUGAUCGAGAAAACAAAACCUGCUAGUCAGCUAAGAGUUACCUCCCUUGUUAUCUUUACUGAGGAGCUCGAAAUGCUUCUGUCAACCCAUGAAGAGCGCUCUGCAAUGGCUACGAUGAACUAAAACUCUUGUUUCUAAAUCCAGUCUUUUUUCUCCGAGGCAAACUUACACUGAAUAGCCUUUACAUGUUCAAACAUGUUCUAAGUUUAUUUCAACUGAUUUAAAGAUUAAACUCACUUUGUAACUGUGUGGUUUGGAGUUCAAUCCCACUGCGUUGGACCUUGGUCCUCUGGCAAUGUUGGAAAUCAAUAUGUGGUGGAGGUGAAUGGAUCUUAUGAAUUAGUCAGAAAAGGGAAGAACAGAGCUCAUGACCGUUUUCAGAAGCUUGUGGAAUAAAAGAAGGAAAUUAUCGUCAGACUCGAAACCUGAACCGAAUGUUUUAUUCUACUAAAGACAACCAGAAGCCAUUUGAUGAUUUUUAAACAGGAUGGCUCACAAAGUCCGUACGUCAUAACAGUUACGUGGAUCUGAUACAUCUGGGUCUAUUACAGAUAUUUUUUCCGAGAGAAGAGACGAAACUCGGAUCUUAAAUCUGAAGAAUUCCUCUUGAAUUCGUCGAUGCUACUACUGCGAAUAGUGAUGAAUUAUACAACCAUUCGGCGGUUACCAUUUACAGUUAGGUGGACUUCAUCACUGAGGGGUCGACGAGAUAAACAAGUCAAUGACAAAACCUCUAGGAGGUGACUACUUGGCCUGUUCGAGAUAGAACCUAAAUCUCCCUCAAAUUUCAACCUAGUAAGUACACUUUGAAUAAUGAACUCUACAACCUGAAAAAAAUGAAUACGGUUUCAAAGCUGUAUCAGGGCUAAUCUUAGAGAUAACAACAACUACAACAAGUGAUGUUAUGCGAAAGUAAUAACUAGUGACCUCUCUCUUGGUUGUCCAUCACGCUAUCCUCUCACAUAAACACGAUGCCUGAAUAAUUGACGAGAUUUCACUUCCUGGCUAGAAACACACCACCAAAUUUUCUUCUCUUUGUUAAUUCCCCCCUCACCCGACUUCAGUUCAGGUACAUUCUUCAGACACUUAGUAAACCAUAGAAAUCAUACUUUCUCAUUUUCUUUACACUAAAUCGAAAUCAAUAUAAGAUUAUUUUUAUUUCUAUAUAAAAAAGGAUUAGUGAACAUUUUCUGUGUAAAAUAAAUACGAAAAUGUAAUAUCACAAAGAUUUUGAACAAUGGUUUGUUUUGUCUUGCGUUUUUUCUUUCAAAACUUUUUGUAUGGACAAUGUAGCGUGGACAAUUUCAUUGUUAAAUGCACUGCGGUGAAUUUCCUUGUUACACAUGGAAACGAAAAAUAUAAGUCAAAAUACGUUUAUAAAAGAAUAAACUCAAAAUUAAUCCAUGUGACACUAUACAAGCAAUAUCAUGGUAAAAUGAAUAAAGGAUGGUUAUCGAGUUUGGUAAAAUGAACGUAAGAUUAUGCUUAACGUAAUUUUGUAUGAGUUA